UGACCAGGGCUACACACGUACUACAAUGGCAGGUACAAAGGGCAGCCACUUAGCGAUAAGGCGCGAAUCCCAUAAACCUGUCUCAGUCCGGAUUGGAGUCUGCAACUCGACUCCAUGAAGUUGGAAUCGCUAGUAAUCGUGGAUCAGAAUGUCACGGUGAAUACGUUCCCGGGUCUU
rnacentral:rRNA from 1 species